rnacentral:rRNA from 1 species
AACGAACGCUGGCGGCAUGCCUAACACAUGCAAGUCGAACGAGACCUUCGGGUCUAGUGGCGCACGGGUGCGUAACGCGUGGGAACCUGCCCUUAGGUUCGGAAUAACUCCCCGAAAGGGGUGCUAAUACCGGAUAAUGUCUUCGGACCAAAGAUUUAUCGCCUUUGGAUGGGCCCGCGUUGGAUUAGCUAGUUGGUAGGGUAAAAGCCUACCAAGGGGACGAUCCAUAGCUGGUCUGAGAGGAUGAUCAGCCACACUGGGACUGAGACACGGCCCAGACUCCUACGGGAGGCAGCAGUGGGGAAUAUUGGACCAUGGGCGAAAGCCUGAUCCAGCAAUGCCGCGUGAGUGAUGAAGGCCUUAGGGUUGUAAAGCUCUUUUACCCGGGAUGAUAAUGACAGUACCGGGAGAAUAAGCCCCGGCUAACUCCGUG